UCCCUCUCAGGGUCGCACCUGGAGAGUUUCCUGUACCCUAUCAGUCUUGACUACGGGAGGGAGAGGCAAGCAGAGGCCUGCCCGUUCCAUUCCUAGCUUGGCCAAUGGCUAGCGAGUGGAAGACAAUCUGCUGUGCUG